rnacentral:rRNA from 1 species
GACGAACGCUGGCGGCGUGCUUAACACAUGCAAGUCGAACGAGUGGCGAACGGGUGAGUAAUGUCUGGGAAACUGCCCGAUGGAGGGGGAUAACUACUGGAAACGGUAGCUAAUACCGCAUACCAUCGGAUGUGCCCAGAUGGGUUUAGCUAGUAGGUGGGGUAACGGCUAACCUAGGCGACGAUCCCUAGCUGGUCUGAGGGGAUGACCCGCCACACGGGAACGGAGACACGGUCCAGACUCCUACGUGAGGCAGCAGUGGGGAAUAUUGCACAAUGGGCGCAAGCCGGAUGCAGCCAUGCCGCGUGUAUGAAGAAGGCCUUCGGGUUGUAAAGUACUUUCAGCGAGGAGGCGUUACUCGCAGAAGAAGCACCGGCUAACUCCGUGCCAGCAGCCGCGGUAAUAC